rnacentral:rRNA from 1 species
CGGACGGGUGAGUAACGCGUGAGAAUCUACCUUCAGGAUGGGGACAACCGUUGGAAACGACGGCUAAUCCCCAAUAAGCCGCAAGGUGAAACGGGAUUCCGCCUGGAGAGGAGCUCGCGUCCGAUUAGUUUGGAAGUUGGUGAGGUAAGAGCUUACCGAGGCAGCGAUCGGUAGCUGGUCUGAGAGGAUGAGCAGCCACACUGGGACUGAGACACGGCCCAGACUCCUACGGGAGGCAGCAGUGGGGAAUUUUCCGCAAUGGGCGCAAGCCUGACGGAGCAACGCCGCGUGUGGGAAGAAGGCUCUUGGGCUGUCAACCACUUUUCUCAGGGAAGAAGCACUGACGGUACCUGAGGAAUCAGCCUCGGCUAACUCCGUGCCAGCAGCCGCGGUAAUACGGAGGAGGCAAGCGUUAUCCGGAAUUAUUGGGCGUAAAGCGUCCGCAGGGGGCACAUCAAGUCUGCUGUUAAAGGCUGGAGCUUAACUCCGGUAGAGCAGUGGAAACUGGUGUGCUAGAGGGCGACAGGGGUAGAGGGAAUUCCCAGUGUAGCGGUGAAAUGCGUAGAGAUUGGGAAGAACACCGGUGGCGAAAGCGCUCUACUGGGUCGCACCUGACCCUCAGGGACGAAAGCUAAGGUAGCGAAAGGGAUUAGAUACCCCUGUAGUC